rnacentral:rRNA from 1 species
UACAGAGGUCCCAAGCGUUGUUCGGAAUCACUGGGCUUAAAGGGCGCGUAGGCGGGUGUGCAAGUCUGUGGUGAAAGCCUCCAGCUUAACUGGAGAAGUGCCGUGGAUACUGCACAUCUUGAGGAGGGUAGGGGCAUCUGGAACGGUCGGUGGAGCGGUGAAAUGCGUUGAUAUCGACCGGAACUCCGGUGGCGAAGGCGAGGUGCUGGACCCUUUCUGACGCUGAGGCGCGAAAGCCAGGGGAGCGAACGGG